ACCAGCUUAUACCUCCAAAGUAGUUGCUCCUUUGGUGGUUAUCGGCUCGCUGAUCAUAGGGUUGCUGUUGCUGUUGUUGUACAAAAGGCGAUCUCAAAAGGCUCGGAGGAACUCUACAGCACCCCUUAUGGAUCGUCGUGAUGCGGCUCCUACAGAUGUUGAGGAAGGUUAUAACUCUCACGAAGAUGAACCAAUCAAUCAAGACCAGUCCUGAGGAGGCACCUUGUACCAGAUGAAUAUACUGUAAUAAUCUACUGCCAAGACUCCCUUGUUUGCUAACUGCAGUCUGUCUCUGUACUUUCCUUUUGUGUAACCAGGAAUAACCUAUAUUACUGUGAUUUAGCAGACAAGCUGUAAGAUCUUUAUUCACAUAAGCUCUGCAUUUAAACAAGCAGGUCUUGAGCUUAAACCAACAUCCUCGCUGAAUCAAGCCAAGAUCAACUAUAAGAGAGGGGGAUGUUACAGGCCAAGGGACUUUAAAACAAGGCUCAAAGUGGAACAUCACCAAGAUGUUUUGUAAGAGUUGUUUGGUUGAGGAAAUGUUUAUACAUAAACAAUACAACUUUAUUGAGUUCAUGUAGAAACUGUAGCCUUUGGCAGCCAAUCAGGAGCAGCAUUUCUUCCUCUUCUUAUGUUCUGUCAGGGUUGUAAGGGGAAUAAUAAAUCACGUUUUGGGGAUAGCGGCAAGUUUUUAUAUCUUCCUGUAUGAACAGUAUAUAUAUAUAUAUACGUGUGUGUGUCUGUGUGUGUUAAGUGGCUCUAACUGAGGUUAGCUGACCUGAUCUUUUCCACUGAUCCAUGUAAUUCAGUAAUUUGUCUGAGCAGUGUAAAUGUGCCAAAAGUUAGCAACAAUUACUCUUACUGUUAGCAAAUCCCAUCAAAAAUAAAAAAUCACCUC